UGUCAUUCUCAGCUUCUUCAUAAGUCUUAGGUUCUAUUUGUGAAACAAAAGUAAGAUAGUCAUUUAAAUUUCUAAGAGAGGAUCGAGUUCUUACCCUUUGAGAUGGAUCACCAAUGAUUAAGUCUUUAGGGUGUCCAUGUGCGUACCUCCAUUCCUUUGGCAAGUCUUGAGAUUGUGGUGGCACACGAUCAUCUUCCUUUUCUUGAUUUGGCACGUCAUUAAGAUUCAAUUUUUCGAACUCAA
rnacentral:lncRNA from 1 species